GUGCCCUUUUAAGGUUGACCCAGUGCUUUAAGAGGCUAACACAGAAGGGUAAAGUAAGUCUCCAUAAAACCCAGAGAAGAGACUGGAAAACUCCUCUUUGGAUCCUGUCUGGAGUCACACCU
ensembl:snoRNA SNORA26 small nucleolar RNA, H/ACA box 26